rnacentral:rRNA from 1 species
CCUACGGGAGGCAGCAGUGAGGAAUAUUGGUCAAUGGACGCAAGUCUGAACCAGCCAUGCCGCGUGCAGGAUGACGGCCCUACGGGUUGUAAACUGCUUUUAUACGGGAAUAAUGUGUCCUACGUGUAGGAUUUUGAAGGUACCGUACGAAUAAGGAUCGGCUAACUCCGUGCCAGCAGCCGCGGUAAUACGGAGGAUCCAAGCGUUAUCCGGAUUCAUUGGGUUUAAAGGGUCCGUAGGCGGGUCUUUAAGUCAGAGGUGAAAGCCUGCAGCUCAACUGUGGAACUGCCUUUGAUACUGGAGAUCUUGAGUGUGCGUGAAGUAGGCGGAAUAAGUCAUGUAGCGGUGAAAUGCAUAGAUAUGACUUAGAACACCGAUUGCGAAGGCAGCUUACUAAAGCACUACUGACGCUGAGGGACGAAAGCGUGGGGAGCGAACAGGAUUAGAUACCCUGGUAGUCCACGCCGUAAACGAUGAUAACUCGCUGUUGGCGAUACACGGUCAGCGGCCAAGCGAAAGCGUUAAGUUAUCCACCUGGGGAGUACGCCGGCAACGGUGAAACUCAAAGGAAUUGACGG